UACGAAGGGGGCUAGCGUUGCUCGGAAUUACUGGGCGGAAAGGGCGCGUAGGCGGGUAGUUUAGUCAGAGGGGAAAGCCCAGGGCUCAACCUUGGAAUUGCAUCCGAUACUGCCGUGCUAGAGGAUUGGAGAGGUAGCUGGAAUUCUUGGUGUAGCAGUGAAAUGCGUGGAGAUCAAGAGGAACACUCGUGGCGAAAGCGAGCUACUGGACAAUAUCUGACGCUGAGGCUCGAAGGCCAGGGUAGCGAAAGGG
rnacentral:rRNA from 1 species